UGGAGAGUUUGAUCCUGGCUCAGGACGAACGCUGGCGGCGUGCUUAACACAUGCAAGUCGAGCGGUAAGGCCCUUCGGGGUACACGAGCGGCGAACGGGUGAGUAACACGUGGGUGAUCUGCCUUGCACUCUGGGAUAAGCCUGGGAAACUGGGUCUAAUACCGGAUAUGACCUUUGGUUGCAUGAUCAGGGGUGGAAAGAUUUAUCGGUGCAAGAUGAGCCCGCGGCCUAUCAGCUUGUUGGUGGGGUAAUGGCCUACCAAGGCGACGACGGGUAGCCGGCCUGAGAGGGCGACCGGCCACACUGGGACUGAGACACGGCCCAGACUCCUACGGGAGGCAGCAGUGGGGAAUAUUGCACAAUGGGCGGAAGCCUGAUGCAGCGACGCCGCGUGAGGGAUGACGGCCUUCGGGUUGUAAACCUCUUUCGACUCCGACGAAGCGAAAGUGACGGUAGGAGUAUAAGAAGCACCGGCCAACUACGUGCCAGCAGCCGCGGUA
rnacentral:rRNA from 1 species